rnacentral:rRNA from 1 species
CAGUAGCCGCGGUAAUACGAGGGGGGCAAGCGUUGUUCGGAAUUAUUGGGCGUAAAGGGUGCGUAGGCGGUUUGACAAGUCUUAUGUGAAAUCUCUGGGCUCAACCCAGAGUCUGCAUGGGAAACUGUCGGGCUUGAGUAUGGGAGAGGUGAGUGGAAUUUCCGGUGUAGCGGUGAAAUGCGUAGAUAUCGGAAGGAACACCUGUGGCGAAAGCGGCUCACUGGACCAUAACUGACGCUGAGGCACGAAAGCUAGGGGAGCAAACAGGAUUAGAUACCCCUGUAGUCCCUGUCUCUUAUAC